rnacentral:rRNA from 1 species
AUUGAACGCUGGCGGAAUGCUUUACACAUGCAAGUCGAACGGCAGCACGGACUUCGGUCUGGUGGCGAGUGGCGAACGGGUGAGUAAUGUAUCGGAACGUGCCCAGUCGUGGGGGAUAACGUAGUGAAAAUUACGCUAAUACCGCAUACGAUCUAUGGAUGAAAGUGGGGGAUCGCAAGACCUCGCGCGAUUGGAGCGGCCGAUAUCAGAUUAGGUAGUUGGUGGGGUAAAGGCCCACCAAGCCAACGAUCUGUAGCUGGUCUGAGAGGACGACCAGGCACACUGGAACUGAGACCCGAUCAAGCCUCCGACGGGAGGAAGCAGUGGGGAAUGUUGGACAAUGGGCGAAAGCCUGAUCCAGCCAUUCCGCGUGCAGGAUGAAGGCCCUCGGGUUGUAAACUGCUUUUGUACAGAACGAAAAGGUUUCUACUAAUACUAGGAGCUCAUGACGGUACUGUAAGAAUAAGCACCGGCUAACUACGUGCCAGCCGCCGCAGUAA